GUUCAAUCCCAAAUCCCCUACAGAGCAGCAGUCCCAACGCUGGCGGCGGCGGCCCAUAUCCCUCCUCAAGCUGGGCGAGUUCAGAAAAUCUCCGAUGGCUGCUGGCCGUCGUGUCGCCGACGGUGCAGUUUGAGUCGGUUCGUCGCCUCCUCUCUCUCUCUCAGGCACAUCAGCUCGUGACCUUCUCCCCCUCGUUAGCGGCAAGCCGGUGAUGAGCUCCUCGGGUCCUUCCCAACCGCCCAAUGCGACUUGGUAUAAACCUACAAAUCUUCGACACAGUUGUUCAUUUUCCUGGUAAAUAGAUGUUAACUUUGUUUGCUAUUUGUGCUGCAGCCCAAUUUUACUGUAUCAAGUAAAUUUAUGCUUUAUCUGUACAGUUCUAUUUUCCUGUACUUGUUCGUCUCAAAUCUGCUUGUGUGUGAAUGAUGCAUUUUAGUAACUUAAGUUUGUUCGUGUAUUGCUCCUAUUCUUGGUGGUUUGGUACUCUAAUUUGGAACUUUUGUUUCUCUAUUAAGUAAUCUGGAGAACCAAGUUGGAGGGUUGAGGACGGUUGGAUAAUCUUAGGGUCUUGAAGUUUAGGACAAUUCACUAAAAAGCUCGGAAUUUCAUCUUAAGUUUGACAACUAGGUUAUGUAUCCUUGGUUGGAGCGGUGAAUGAAGUUGACAUAAUGACUGUGUCUCUUCUCAAUAUAUGGUAUUUCGUAUAUGUUUCUAACUAACACCUACUUAUUUGGUGUUCUUAGCUAGGUAGAUUGAAUUGAUCAAGUGUAUAAGAGUACAUGGAGGUUAAAACUCCCACGUAGAAGCAGGAAUGCCAGCAGAUGAAGAUUGAUUAACAGGAACCACCAAAACAGGACACAAAUUAUACUCAUAGAUCUUUUCUGUUAUGUACUAUCAAGAUGCUUGUUGGACAGUGGUAGUUUCAGUCCUUUAAACUCGGUCCUGUUGGCCAUGUACUAAAAGCAAUAUAUGUAUAUCUCUUGUGUUGUAUUCUCAUGUACUCAAAUACUCAAAUGCUUGCUGCGCGGUGAUAGUUCCAGUCCUUAAUUUGCUCA